GAUGAAGAACGUAGCGAAAUGCGAUAAGUAGUGUGAAUUGCAGACUUUAGUGAAUCAUCGAAUCUUUGAACGCACAUUGCGCCCCUUGGUAUUCCAUUGGGCAUGCCUGUUCGAGCGUCAUUUAAACCUUCAAGCUUUGCUUGGUGUUGGGUGUUUGUCCCUCGGGACUCGCCUUAAAGUCAUUGGCAGCCAGUGUUUUGGUUUUGAAGCGCAGCACAAGUCGCGAUUCAAGGCUAUCCGCCCGCUUCCACAAGCCUUUUUCACUUUUGACCUCGGAUCAGGUAGGGAUACCCGCUGAACUUAAGCAUAUCAAUAAGCGGAGGA
rnacentral:misc_RNA from 1 species